AACGAACGCUGGCGGCGUGCCUAACACAUGCAAGUCGAGCGCGAAUGGAGCAAUCCUAGUAGAGCGGCGCACAGGUGCGUAACACGUGGGUAAUCUGCCCUGGAGCCCGGAAUAACCUGCCGAAAGGCAAGCUAAUACCGGAUAAGCCUACGGUCCCCCCGGGGACUGAAGGAAAAGGUGGCCUCUGCAUGCAAGCUAUCAAUUCAGGAUGAGCCCGCGGCCCAGCAGCUCGUUGGCGGGGUAACGGCCCACCAAGGCAACGACGGGUAGCUGGUCUGAGAGGACGAUCAGCCACACUGGAACUGAGACACGGUCCAGACUCCUACGGGAGGCAGCAGUGGGGAAUUUUGCGCAAUGGGCGAAAGCCUGACGCAGCAACGCCGCGUGUGUGAUGAAGGUCUUCGGAUUGUAAAGCACUUUCGACCGGGACGAAAACCCGCUGGCCAAUAUCCAGCGGCUUGACGGUACCGGGAGAAGAAGCACCGGCUAACUCUGUGCCAGCAGCCGCCGUAAUAC
rnacentral:rRNA from 1 species